GUCGGUAAAACUCGUGCCAGCCACCGCGGUUAUACGAGAGACUCAAGUUGAUAUGCAACGGCGUAAAACGUGGUUAAGGUAAAACCUAAGAUAAAGCCGAAUACUAUCACAGUUGUUAUACACACCCGAUAGAUAGAAGUCCAAUCAUGAAAAUAACUUUACAAAACCUGACCCCACGAAAGCUAAGAUACAAACUGGGAUUAGAUACCCCACUAUG
rnacentral:rRNA from 1 species